rnacentral:rRNA from 1 species
UCUCCUCGAAAUAGCUUUAGGGCUAGCCUCAUGGAUCAUUGAUGGGGGUAGAGCACUGAAUGUGCGCGGGGGCCACAAAGCCUACCAAACGCUAUCAAACUUCGAAUACCAUACAAUGCAGACCAUGGGAGUCAGUCCGCGAGAGAUAAGUUCCGCGGGCAAAAGGGGAACACCCCAGAUCAACCGCUAAGGUCCCCAAGUUCACGUUAAGUGGAGAAGGAUGUGGAAUUGCACAGACAACCAGGAUGUUGGCUCAGAAGCAGCCACACAUUUAAAGAGUGCGUAAUAGCUCACUGGUCGAGUGAUUGUGCGCCGAAGAUGUCCGGGGCUAAACGUGACACCGAAGCGAUGGGUGCAUCUGAAAGGAUGCGCGGUAGAGGAGCAAUGUGCAGAGGCAGAAGCCGUAUCGAGAGGCACGGUGGACACUGCACAAGAGAGAAUGCCGGUAUGAGUAGCGAGAGGCAUGCGAGAAACAUGCCCGUCGAAAGCCCAAGGUUUCCUGGGGAAGGUUCAUCCGCCCAGGGUAAGUCGGGGCCUAAGCCGAGGACGGAAGUCGUAGGCGAUGGACAGCAGGUGUAGAUUCCUGCACUACCGAUGGAAUGAAGCAGUGACACAGAAGGAUAACUCGAGCAGGGUGAUGGUCAACCCUGUGCAAGCAUCAAGGUUGGGUUGUAGUGAAGUACGCAAUCCUAUAAGCUGAGAUGUGAUGCGGACCGAAAUUUCAGUAGGGAAGCGAGUGAGUUCACGCUGGCGAGAAAAGCUGCUAGUACAUCCAAAGGUACCCGUACCGGAAACCGACGCAGGUGGGCGAGGAGAGAAUCCUGAGACGAACGGGAGAACCCUUGUUAAGGAACUCGGCAAAAUGACCCCGUAACUUCGGGAUAAGGGGUGCCUGCGAGAGCAGGCCGCAGAGAAUAGUCACAAGCGACUGUUUAGCAAAAACACAGGUAUCUGCGAAAGCGAGAGCUGACGUAUAGGUGCUGACACCUGCCCGGUGCUGGAAGGUUAAGGGAACAUGUUAGAGCAAUCGAAGCAUCGAACCGAAGCCCCAGUAAACGGCGGCCGUAACUAUAACGGUCCUAAGGUAGCGAAAUUCCUUGUCGGGUAAGUUCCGACCCGCACGAAUGGUGUAACGACUUGUGAGCUGUCUCAACAGGGGGCCCGGUGAAAUUGAAGUAUGGGUGAAGAUGCCCAUUACCCGCGACUGGACGGAGAGACCCCGUAGAGCUUUACUGCAGCCUGAUAUUGAGUUUCGGUAACUGAUGCACAGGAUAGGUGGGAGUCUGAGAGACAUGGGUUUCGGCUCAUGUGGAGACGAUGUUGGGAUACCACUCUUCGGUUACUGAAAUUCUAACAUAGCUCUGUGAAACCAGAGGAUGGACAGUGUCAGGUGGACAGUUUGACUGGGGCGGUCGCCUCCGAAAGAGUAACGGAGGCGCCCAAAGGUACCCUCAGAAUGGAUGGAAACCAUUCGAAGAGCGCAAAGGCAGAAGGGUGCCUGACUGCGAGAGUGACAACUCGAGCAGAGACGAAAGUCGGGCUUAGUGAUCCGGCGGUAUUGAGUGGAAAAGCCGUCGCUUAACGGAUAAAAGCUACCUCGGGGAUAACAGGCUGAUCUCCCCCAAGAGUCCACAUCGACGGGGAGGUUUGGCACCUCGAUGUCGGCUCGUCGCAUCCUGGGGCUGAAGCAGGUCCCAAGGGUUUGGCUGUUCGCCAAUUAAAGCGGCACGCGAGCUGGGUUCAGAACGUCGUGAGACAGUUCGGUCCCUAUCCAUCGUGGGCGUAGGAGUCAUGAGAGGAGCUGUUCCUAGUACGAGAGGACCGGAAUGGACGCACCACUGGUGCAACUGUUGUCGUGCCAACGGCAUAGCAGGGAAGCGAAGUGCGGAUGGGAUAAACGCUGAAGGCAUCUAAGCGUGAAGCCCACCUCAAGAAUAAGACUCCACAAUAGACCCCUGGAGGACUACCAGGUAGAUAGGUCAUCGGUGGAAGCGCUGUAAGGCGUGU